rnacentral:rRNA from 1 species
GACGAACGCUGGCGGCGUGCCUAAUACAUGCGUAGAACGCACAGUUUAUACCGUAGCUUGCUACACCAUAGACUGUGAGUUGCGAACGGGUGAGUAACGCGUAGGUAACCUGCCUGGUAGCGGGGGAUAACUAUUGGAAACGAUAGCUAAUACCGCAUAAUAUUGAUUAUUGCAUGAUAAUUGAUUGAAAGAUGCUAUUGCAUCACUACCAGAUGGACCUGCGUUGUAUUAGCUAGUAGGUGAGGUAACGGCUCACCUAGGCGACGAUACAUAGCCGACCUGGGAGGGUGAUCGGCCACACUGGGACUGGGACACGGCCCAGACUCCUACGGGAGGCAGCAGUAGGGAAUCUUCGGCAAUGGACGAAAGUCUGACCGAGCAACGCCGCGUGAGUGAAGAAGGUUUUCGGAUCGUAAAGCUCUGUUGUAAGAGAAGAACGGGUGUGAGAGUGGAAAGUUCACACUGUGACGGUAUCUUACCAGAAAGGGACGGCUAACUACGUG